UGCUUCGAUUGGAUCUCAAGAGGUUCAAAGGCCCCCUCGUAAUGCUGCAUCACCCUCAAGCCAGCAGAGAAGUAACGGGAUUUCAGGAGUGGCUGAGCUUGCUAGCGGCCUCGGGAUUUCUAAAGGUAUCCAUACAGAAGAAGAAACAAGUAAUAGAACGAGUUGGUUGAAACCUGCAUUUCGUAUGAGAACACUUAGCGCAACAAACAGU